rnacentral:rRNA from 1 species
AUGGGUUUUGGUAAAUUGAAUGUGAAUGCUUCUUUUGAUCAUGAUCAACUAAGGGGCACAACGGGUGUUGUUAUUAGGGAUGACAAAGGAAAUUUCAUUGUAGGUGGAAACUGGAAGAUCGAGUGUUGCGCGGAUGCUCUGAUAGUAGAGGCGCUAGCACUUAGGUUUGGCUUAUUACUGGCACAAAAGGAGGGUUGCAAUCGCCUGAUUAUCAAUUCUGACAACAUGAAAGUAAUUAACACAAUGAAAAACGGAGGUCAUUUUGCAGGAGCGGCGGCUGCAGUUUUUGAGGAUUGCUUUUUUAUGACUUGUGAUUUUUCUAUUACUAGUUUUGAGCAUUGUAAUAGAGAAGCAAACAAAGUAGCCCAUGAGCUUGCUAGAAUAGCAAAAUCCAUGGCUAGGGAUUGGAUUGAGGAGCCUAUGAAAAAUAUUGUAUCUCUCCUUAUAGAUGAUGUAACCAUUAUCUCUACUUAA